AAAGAAAAAAGAAGAAGCAGCACCAAGUUCUUAAAGCCUCCACGGGUAAUAAAAGAAUUAAAACUGAAUGAACAUCUAAAGACAAAGAUGAGGAAACUGAGGCAAACAGGAUUAAGUGACUUGCCCAGGAUCCACUAAGGCACGAAACUGCCUCCAAGGAAGAGAUACUUUGAGAGAGCUAUGAAAUGGAGGAAUGCCAAUACAUGAAAAGAAGAUUUAAGAAAAGAAAAGGAGGAAGAUGGCUGCUUGAAUGAGUGCAAAUUGCCUAGUUUCCAUAAAAGAACUCCAGAAAAGAUGUGAAGUUCAUUCUAGCUUAAAUAAUGAUCAAGAAUUCUCAUGAGAAGUCAUAGUAAGUAUUGCAGCAUUCUCAACUUCCAUGAUCCAGAGGGAGGAGAAGUUUUGUACAGGUGAUCCAGGAUAAGAUUAAGCAAGGCCAACCAUCACAAAUAAGUGCAGUAAGGGAUAGAACCUGGGUCUAAUUUUGAGAAAGUAAAAAUAGGGGGGAAAAAGUAAUUAAAAGAAAAUAUCUACCAGCAUAAAAAUGAGUAGAAAUAGCAUCAUCUCUUCCUGAAGUAAUAAAAACUCUAUAACAACUUGAAGAUAUUCAAAGAAAAAAAAAGGACUUUCUAAAAGUAGUAUUUGACUAUGUAGAAGAAAUAAAUUUUAAAAUGAACUCUAAGUUUUUGAAGAAAGAAUUGAAAGGAAAGCAGUUUAGAAGAGAAACCUUAGCCGAAUCAUAAAUUUCCUUAAAACCAG